rnacentral:rRNA from 1 species
UGGUGGAGUGAUUUGUCUGGUUAAUUCCGUUAACGAACGAGACCUUAACUUGCUAAUUAGACACUAGUACACUUACUAGUUGUCUUCUUAGAAGGACUAUGUGUCCAAGCACAUGGAAGUUUGAGGCAAUAACA